CCUAUGCAGGUAAUCAUAGCCAUAGACAUAACAACAACAGCUGCUUCAUAAUCACACAUCACCAUUUCUAGCUCCUUUAUUUAAAUAGGUGAAGAAUAUUUGAGUGGAAACACUGCAUGUCGAUGGUAUUUUAACCCCGCAAUUCCAGAGGCUGAAGACUUCUACAACGCCCUGCACAAUCAACGUCUGUCAAUCAGACGUGUCACUGUUCCUGCAGAACAAACAGCACCACUGCAAACAGCACUUUCCCUCGAAGACAAGUGUCUCAGCGACUUGGAGAAAAUGGACCCAUACGACUUCCCGGAUGGUGGAUGCCGAUGUACUGUUACUAUAACCCGUGUACUGCUAACCACCCCAUGGUGGUUCCCAUCAUGCAAUAGAUGCAGCAGAAGUUGCACACCAGAUGGUGAUGGCUAUAAGUGUAACACAUGCUCCUGCACAGGCUACCGGUUCAAGUAAAAACUACUUUCUCCUUCCUUACCAUACAACUGCAGCUACACUGACUAAUACCCCAUACAAAUUCACUUACACAGAUACAAAUUGUGCUUCAUCGGAAGUGAUGGAACUGCCGAAGCUGAAAUGAUAGCUUUUGGCGAUGUUGGUCGCCGUAUUGUGGGCAAGCCUGUCCAACAAGUCUUGCGGACAUCAAGAUUUGCGAAUGACACUCCACCAGAUAUCGCAGCCAUUGUAUCCUUAAAAUUUGUUUUUGCAAUCACUUUAACAGAACAAAGCUACUACAACCCUCAAAAAACAUAUCAAGUCAACUCUGUGAUUACUUCCUAUGGAAGACAGCACGCACUUCCACAUACAAGAGAUGAGCAGCAUAAACAACCAGAAACUUCCCUCACACCAGUUCAUGCACUCACAUACCCAACAUCUUCAACCAGCCGUGCAACAUCCCGCACAGUGACCUCUCCUAUAGAUCCUUAUGCCACUACACCCAAUCCUAGCAUACCAUCUGGAUCCAAAAACAUCACUCCAUCAUCAAAACCAGAAUUUCAAAAAGCGGCUACCAAAAACAUGCCAGCAGAUAUUGUAAGACUGCUCUCCCCCUUGUAGCCUAUUGAAUAGCACAUAAACACAACCAGCACCUUUAUACUGUGACUGCAUACCAAUAUAUAUUGAAUUUAUAUUGCAGACCCCUCCACCUUCACUGGAGCAUGAUGAAACACCGUUGAAGAAAACUGAACUCCCGCAUGAUGUUGCUUCAUCAAAACAGCCCACUGCUCAAAAGAGAUUAUUCCAGGAUAUUAUAGAUACUGCAAAGG